GUUACUGCAGUUUUCUGUAAUUAGCAUGUUAAUUACAACACCAAAAACACCAAAAAAUACCAUUGAAAGCUAAAGAGAAUAUUUCCUCUCUUUUUCUAACAACCCAAACUCCUCUCUCUCUCUCUCUCUCUCUCUCUCUGUGUGGCAAUUAAGCUUCCCCAUCUACGUCCUAUCUCUUUAUCUCUUAAUUUCAAAGUCGGUCAGCCAUAGAAAUAGCUGUUGGGGCCACCUCUGUGUGUGUGUGUGUGUUCUCUCUCUCUCUCUCUUUCUCCUAUAUAUUUGUGAAUGUGUGUGUGCGUGUCUCUCUCUCUAGAUACACUUGUUUGUACGUACGCAUUGGCUGUAUGCUGCUUGUAACCAGAAUGUGUAGAGCUGUGAGUCAUCCAUAGUUUUUCAAGCUCAAUUCUCUAUUUUAUUAUCAAGACCCAAGAAUUAAUAAAAGAUAUGCAUUUCACUUUAAUUAGUAAAAAAUUUGAAUACUAUCUUUGAAUAAUAGUUUCUAUUGGAAUAACAAUUGACCACAGUCCCACAAAUACAGUUUCCUACUAUUGGUGCAUAUAUCUUUUUUAUUUUUUGGAAUUGUUCGGAAAUGGACAUUUAAAUUCUCAUAUUUAUGGUCCAUGAUUAGUGGCAUGUUAGUUUUCUGUAAUUAGCAGGAGUAAAGCCGGUAGAUCCUAUUCCACAUGGUGAGAAGUUACUGCAGGUUGAAGAUCCUUUGGUGGAAGCUACAAAGUACUUGAAACUUCUCCAGAAGCACUCCUCCGAUUUUUCAGCUCAUUAGCUUCACUAGUGGUCACUGAUGCUCAAACCAUUCGAGUCAAUUUUUUUGUUUUUGUUUUUCUUUUUGAAUAUUAAAAAGCUUUCAGGUGAUGUAUCUUGAUCUUGUAUCCUCUAUGACCAGAGUACGUAGCAACGGGCCACUUGACUCCCAAGAGUGAUGUGUACAACUUCGGAGUUGUCCUGCUGGAGCUGCUAUCGGGGAAACGGGCGUUCGGAGACAAGAAUUUCGGGAGAGCCAAGGAGACGUUGGUGGACUGGACGAAGCCAUUCCUCAUGGACAGCAGGAAACUGUUGAGGAUCAUGUACUCUAAGAAGGGGGCACAGGAGGCAGCAGCCAUCGCCUUGCGCUGCCUCGACAACGAUCCCAACAAUCGACCGGCCAUGACGAAGGCCUUGGCCGCCCUCGACGACGUCCAGACGUCUACAGCUGCUCCCAGAAUCUCACAUCGAGCUGUGAAUCACAAGCUGAGUCCUCAUAGACAAUGAGGCAGUCGAGGACCCAGGUGAUUAGAAUUCGCAAGAAGGGAGCAUGGCUUGCAAAAGUGGAGCAGGGAGCAGCUGGUCGCAGCAUUGCUUGUACCAGCCUCCUUGAAGAGUUUGUUGUUCUGUCGAGCUAACGAUGUUAAAAAUAACGUUUAUUGGGAGGCAACCCAAUCUUGGUUAGUCCGUUUCUUUUCUUUUGUUAGUUUGUUUUUGUGCCCCACAAAUCCUUUUCAAACUUAUUCUCCUUGGUGGUGAAUAAGUUUGGGGGGUGUGUCUUCGUGGGUGCACUUUUUGUUUUAGUUGCUUUUGUUUCGUCGUUGAGUUUUCUUAGUCUUGCUUUAGUGGUUUUUCCUGUGAUGUUACUUUGAUGAUGAUGUCAGUAGUGUAGAAAUUGGUUGGAUAACUGGCUCAUGAUGAUUUCUGUUUAAAGCUUAUGGGUGUGUAUGCGUUUGUAUUGAUAUUGUUGAGAUUGAGCAUGAGUGAUGGACGAUAAGCGUGGUCUCUAUGUGUUUGCAAUCAAUGAAAUAAUCUGUGAGAUUUUAGCCUUGACUGUCACUAUUUUUACAGUCUUAUUUGUUAUUCUUGAGUGAUUGUUUGAGCAUGAUUGUGUCUCACUAGAACUUGUCUUGGUUUCUCCCUCGAGGUCACAUAGUGUGCUUAAUAACUUUGAGAUGAUGGUCAUCUUUACUAGCCUAUAUUUCCCAUAUUUGUCCUUUUACUAUAUAUGAUCCUAGUUCACCCCCUUUGAGUGUUAUUUUUCCAUAUUCUUUGAUUUAGCUAUGGGUGGAAGCUUGAAGACUAUUUGAUAGGAGAUAAUUGGGUUAUGGAGAUGAAUGAUCAUGAGUUAUGUUUUGUGGUUUUAAAUUGAAAAUCCUAGUACUCUACAAGUUGUUGAAAAAAAGAAAAGAAAAGAAAAGAAAAGAAAAGAAAAGAAAAAAACAAAGAGAAAAGAAUUGCAAAAAUGGGUACAUAGGACGCAUUAGAGAGACAUAAUGUUAUGAGAAAUAAUUGUUGAGUUGUGAUGGUUCUCGUAUUGAAAAAUCUGGUUUUAUGAGAGGUGGAAUAUGGUAUAAAUUAAGAAUGCUAUAAGGUUGGUGAUUGAGCUACAUUGAGGAGUAUCUUUUAGUCACUUAGCCAAAUAUAUCCCACCUUACGAAAGAGACUACAUUACAGCCCUUAAUAAAGACCUUUUUUAUCUUGGUUAUAGGAGCACACAUUAAGUGACGGAGAGGUGAGACGAUGGACAAGCUUAUGGUUGAGUACUUGUUUUGCUUGAACUGAGCGUAUACACGUCCAUGUUGUUUGACACACUUGAGAGUUGAGAGAUCUUAAAUUCUUUAUCUUUUUGGUAAGGAUUGCAAGUCAUUGAGACCACAAUUUGAAGUUUGUCAUGAGUGUGAUAUCUUGAUGAUUGGAAAUACAAAUGCAUGUUGGUAUUUUUGUUGACAAAUCUGAAGCCACAACGUUAUCCACUUUUCUAUGCGCUCUUGUUGAUUCAUUCUUGGUUCAUCUUUGUUUUAUCCGAGGACGGACAAUGGUUUAAGUUUGGGGGGUUUGAUUUACAUGCAUUUUUCACUCCUUUAUCGCGUUAUUCUUUAGUGUUUUGGGCGUUUCUAUUGAGUUGUUGAGUUGUCUAUGGUUUAAAUUGCAUAUUUUUGUAUAAUAGACUACUCGUCCGUGCUCGUGCUAUUUUUACAGGUUCUUGGAUUCGAUUUGUGAAGUUUUGGAUGAAGUGUAGUGAAGUACAUGAAGAGACGAGUCCAUAGGCAUGAACGGGGCUCAAAUCGGACAUCGGAUGACCAAGAACGAGCGUCGGGAAGUUCGCGGGUCGGAGCGCGCGCAUCGGAGGUCGCGCGGUUCGGGCAUGCGGCCGCAUGCCACGGCCGUGCGACGGAGCAGGAAGAUCUGGAGGGCCACGCAGGCCAGGCGCGCGGCCGCGCGAGGAGGCCGCGCGAGCUCACGCGGGCUGGCCAUGCGGCCGCACGAGCCGGCCGCGCGAGUCACCGUUUUUCCGCCCAAUUUUCGGAUUUUCAGCUGUAUACGCGAUUUUGGGGUUUUUUAAGUCGUACUUGACCUAGGGCAUAUAAAUACUCCCCAAGAACUUUUUCUAAAAGGGCUUUUUAUCACCUUUUAUCAUAUUUUACUUUUCCUGAGAGCUGAGAGAGACAGAGAACGGAGCCAGAGCAAGAAUUGAAGAUUCUCGAUUCUACUACGGUUUUAUUGUUGAAUGUUUUACAGUUUUAUUGAGAUAUUGAUUUUUAAUCAUAUGUCUAUGUUCCGCUGUAGGUAGCUUCAUGUAUGCAAUGCUUUGUACGAGACCUGAUAUUUGCUAUGCAGUGGGCAUGGUUGCAAGAUAUCAGUCAAAUCCUGGCCAAGGACACUGGACUGUGAUUCGGAUUUCCCGGCUGACCGGGAUGAGAAGAGAUCUACAUCUGGUUAUGUGUUUACCUUAGGAGGUGGAGCUGUAUCAUGGCGGAGUGCAAAGCAGCGUUGCAUUGCGGACUCCACCAUGGAAGCCGAAUAUGUAGCUGCUUCGAAAGCUGCUAAAGAUGUUGUAUGGUUCCGGAAUUACCUCUUGGAUCUGAGCGUGGUACCUAAUUUUCCUAAGAGUAUCAUAAUUUAUUGUGAUAACUCGGGUGCAGUGGCAAAUUCUAAGGAAUCUAGGACCCACAAGGCCACAAAACACAUAGAAAGAAAGUACCACGUCAUACGAGAAAUCAUACAGCGAGGAGAUGUGCUGGUUGAGAAGAUUAGUACUUUGGAGAACCUAGUUGAUCCUUUCACCAAGGGCUUACCGCAAAAGACCUACGAGAAGCAUGCUCGAGGGAUGGGAUUGCGUUUGAUGCCACCCACUUAGGAAACUUUCAGUAUAAGUGGGAGAAGUGAUAGUUUUGUAAUAGCUAGUAGAUAGUCUCAUUGUAUACUAAAAGUUUACUUUAGUAUAAGUGGGAGAUUGUUGGAUUUGUAUACUGAAAGCAAGAACCUUUUAUGCUUGUAUACAAUGUUUCCUAAGUUCA